GCAGAAGUUGGGCAGGCUGCUCAUGAGCUUCUUGUCGUUCAUCAGCUGCAUCAGGGCCUUCAUGGAAACUGCUCUGGUGUCACAGAAAUAUAUCCAAGGAUGGAGUGUGUACGUGUACAAGCUCGUCUGAAAAGAGUUGGCUUGUAAAUGGGAGAAGCUGUCCAAGAAGUAUUCUCACAAUGAAAUAAUCAUUUUAUUUUGUCCAUACCGACAAACAACCAGUCAAUUCAGCUGGAGGAAAAAACAAACAAACAAACAAACAUUUUAUUUUCCAAAUUUGUAAUGAGUUCGCUUAAUUAUUUUUGGUUUAUUGUGUUAUCUACAUAGUUGAAUCUUAAAUCUGAAUUUUCAUAACCUAAGGAAGGAGUCCCACUGAGUGAUGUUUUAUGUUACAAUCAUUUUACUGUAAUCAAUAUUUAAGCGUAUGGUAAAGGCAGCUAAUAUUGUGUCAUAAACACUUCAAGUGAGUCACAGAACUCAUUUCACCUGGAGGCUAUGGAAGAGCCCUGGGCUUCCGCAUUCCCUCCCUGACUCCUACUAUGUCCACCUUUAAUAGUUUUGUAUGUGUCACUCCCUAAAACAACAACAACAAAAAUGCAACUUGAAAACCACAGAUCCAUUCUAGCCUUUUACUCAGUUCACCCCUGUACAGCAUUGCACAAAGACAUGGAAACCAGCACAGAUGACAUUUGGAGACUACCAACCUUGGCUACUUGCCUUCAAGGAGCAUUUAUGUCAUUUAAAAAGUUGCUGUACUUUAGCUUAGUGGCAGCCUUCUUUCCACCAUUUUAGUAUCUGCCAUCGAUUUUUCCAUAAAAAACUGAGUGCCAGAUCUUGGCUUUUCUUGACUGUUUAAGCUCGAUAUCAGGAAGAAAAUGAGGAGUAAGACUUACAUAACCUUACAUUUUAAGGAUAAUUCAUCUAUAAAAUCAUUCAGCUUCCCUGAACUAUGUGAAUGGAAUUUGUUUGCAUGAAUGUAAUUCCACCAAAGGCUUCUAAACUGUGAACUAAUCACAUGAUGUAAUUCUGGAGGUUUCCCAAAAUUAAUCUUUGCAUUAAUUAUCUUUUGCUCUCUUUUUAUGUGUCAUCUU
rnacentral:lncRNA from 10 species